UUAUCAAUAAAAAUCCAAACGCUUAUUACAGCUGCUAUAGUAUAAAAUUAUAUUAUAUUGUAUUAUUUUGAAAACUAAAAUGAUUCGUAUUUUUUUGUUUUUGGGGUUGGCAAUCACACGCAAUGUUGUCUAUUCCGAGAAUAUCUAUAAAGCCUACAAUAAUACAAACGGAUUAGAUUGGUGGCAAACCGGUAUCAUCUAUCAGGUUUAUAUGAGAUCAUUUAAAGAUACCAACCGUGAUGGCAUUGGUGAUUUAAACGGAGUAACUCAAAAAGUAAACUACUUAAAAGAUUUAGGCAUUGGUGCCAUUUGGCUUUCUCCGAUAUUCGAAUCACCACAGUUUGACUUUGGUUAUGACAUAUCAAAUUUUAAGCAAACUGAAAAAGUCUUUGAAACUUUAGCAGAUUUUGAUCGCUUACUUAAUACAUACCAUAACGCCGGAAUAAAAGUUUUGUUGGAUUUUGUGCCAAAUCACUCGAGUCAUUUGCAUGAAUGGUUUUUGAAAUCUGUGAAAAAAAUUCCACCAUUCACAGACUACUAUGUUUGGGAAGAUCCAGUUUACACAAAAGAAGGAAAACAACCUCCUAAUAAUUGGGUCGACAAAAUAUAAGCCAUUCGAUCAGUCGUAGAAAAACCAUUAAAGAAGCCAGUAUAACUAUCAUUGCAAUUAUUUAACAAAAAUGGGAGUGAUUUAUGUGUUACUCCUGUGUACUAUUCUUAAUGUUUUGGCAACUAAAGAUUUAGAUUUCUUUCGAUCGGAGCUUGAAAAUACAAACAUACUCAUUGGCGCACAUAUUAACGCCAGUAAGACAUACUUAAAAUUAUUAAUACUAUACAUUUAAUGGUUUUGUUGUACUUGCCAUUUGCCUGACUAUAAGAGCUCUUAUCCGAGAUUCAACUGCAAAAAAUAUUACUCGAAACUUCAGACCUGGAUACCUACAACAAGGGUUUUGAACACACAUGUCGACUCUUAGGAUUGUUCAUGAGUAUGGAAACUACAGUACCAUACGCAACAAGUGCUGAUGUUACACCCCCGCCCGACAGCACUUGUGUCAUACGUCAUGGAAGUGUUGUCUUGCAGUCAUUCAAACAAUUUAUCCAUUUUAUACGUUUUGUAAAUAACGAAAACCAUGGUGAAAAAGGGCAGAGCAUAUUGGCAUUUCUACAAAAUUAUUAGUAUAUUAGCACACUAAUUACAAUAAUUUGUAUUGGCUUAAUAUACAGGCCAUUUAGGUCCUUUUUCGAGACCACUACUCCUCUCCAUCCAUCCCAUCCGUCGACAUUGCUUCACCGUUAUUUAAUAUUAGUAAUUUUAAUUCCUUACUUUUUUCUUAAUACAGAAGAUGAAACUU